AAACAACCCCCAGUUAAGGAGAGAUGUUCCCAUUACAUUGUCACAGGUAGACAGUUGACAUUCCUCUUUUCCAUCAAUUUCAAGUAUCUUUCAAGGACACGUAGAGAAAAGCACUAAAUCAUAUUCAUUCAUUUUGAAUACUGUACACCUUUUAACCUCUGUCUGGCCUUUGUAGAGAUGAGGAAUGAGGUUGUGACAACUGCACCUUUGAAUUCAACUAUCAUCAAAGGUGAGUACUGAGAUGGCUAAUAUUCAUGAUGAACAUUGAGAGACCAAUGUCAAUCCCUUGAGAAUUUGUUUUUUUAUGUUUUAUUUUCUGGAAGCCUGUCUGGAAAAUAAAUUAGGGGAAAGACUACAAGACACAUUACUCUGUGUUGUUCAGUAUUUUGAUUGAUUAUGUCAUGGAAAUGACUUUAUUCUCUCUAAUCAUCCAUUAUAGAUGGAGACAAUCCUGAUUCAAACCAUAGUGACACUGAUUUGAUCUGGCAAAUCAUUGGUGAGUGUUUAAGCAAAUCUAUCACCACAGCUUCCUCUGUAUGAGAAAAUAACAAGUAAAUCUGACCUCAAAAUGGUGCUACCAAGAUCAACUACUGUUAGAAGGUUAUUUUAAAACCUUUUCAUUUGUGUGAAUAUGUCAUCAUCUGAUGACUACAUUCUGUUUUUCAGUUGGUAUUGUUGUUGCUGUCGUGCUGGUCAUUGCUGUUCUGCUCUGUGUGUUUAAAGCUUGGAGAGACAAACAGUGCCACCAAGGCCACAGAGACGUGGAAGAGGGUCAGGGCAUUCCAGAACCAAACUCCAUUCCUCUGAUGCAGAAUGAGCGACGUGAUGCCAGGUAAACCUUUCCACAUCCCUUUAUUGAUCUGUAAUCAACCACAGAAUGAUAGUCUCUCUUAUCUUCAGCUGUUGCUAUGGGUCAUAUUAGUUUCUGUCUCUAUAUAACAGUAGCUCUCCAACCCUGUUUCUGGAGAACUACUGUCCUGUAGGUUUUCAGUCCAACCCUAAUCUAGCACACCUGAUUCUAAUAAUUAGCUCAGGGAUGGGAAACUGGCAGCCUGCAGACCCCCGUUGUACUGUUGACAGCUAGAAUAGUAGAAUACACAAG
rnacentral:lncRNA from 1 species